GACGAACGCUGGCGGCGUGCUUAACACAUGCAAGUCGAACGAUGAAGCGGGUGCUUGCACUCGUGGAUUAGUGGCGAACGGGCGAGUAACACGUGAGUAACCUGUCCUUUUCUUUGGGAUAACGGCUGGAAACGGCUGCUAAUACUGGAUAUUCAGGCUGCAUCGCAUGGUGUGGUUUGGAAAGGUUUUUUCUGGGAUUGGGUGGGCUCGCGGCCUAUCAGCUUGUUGGUGGGGUGAUGGCUUACCAAGGCUUUGACGGGUAGCCGGCCUGAGAGGGUGGUCGGUCGCACUGGGACUGAGAUACGGCCCAGACUCCUACGGGAGGCAGCAGUGGGGAAUAUUGCACAAUGGACGAAAGUUUGAUGCAGCGACGCCGCGUGGAGGGUGUAGGCCUUCGGGUUGUGAACUCCUUUUUCUCGCGAAAAAGGCACAGUUUUGGCUGUGUUGAUGGUAGUGGGGGAAGAAACGCCGGCUAACUACGU
rnacentral:rRNA from 1 species